UUAUUUUCAUAAUAUUCACUCAGUGAAUUUACAUAAUCAUCGCUUGCUUGAUUUUACGCAGAUUUUCCAGAUCUCGCCAGAAUAAUGUGAAACUGAUACGUUUUGGUUGCUAUGGACACUGCCAGGGCUCGUCACAUGACGUCUUUUAAAGACUUUAUUAAAACCGCGUUCAGCUACAGGUAAAACAACAUUCAGAGGUGAUUUUAACAACGCUCCACGGCGCGUGAGAGUAAGCAUUUUAAGCGUUUUCUGAUCAUGUAGGUAAGUGCUUUUAUUAGACGUGAUGCAUGCUGGGUGGGAAAUUAUUUUUUAUCAAAGACUCGUUGAUGGUAAUUAAUAUAGAUAUGAAUAUACAUUUUGCAACCCUGUAUCACAUGAAAUACGUUCUGAGGAAACUAUUUUGCAAAUCGCAAUUACGUUACAUGCCAACAUAUAAGCAGUGCUAUUACGUUGGUCCUUAACCUAAUAUGACCCGUCGCCAUGGACACAAGGGGUCGGAUAUCUAAAGUUAAAUAUUUUUAACUUACGCGUGAAAUGGUUGAUUUUAAAAAUAUAUAUAUUCUAAGUAAACAACAACAGCCCAGGUUUAGUAAACAUUUUUUUAUUGAAACUAUAAAUAAAUAUUCUGCAUCCAUUUUAGGUGUGCCACUGUGGUUUGCUCCCGCACACCCCCGUGGCUACGCCCCUGCCGUGACCCAAAUCUCGUUCUCACAUCAUCGCGAUGUUUAUCAUCAAUUUACAAACCUCGCCAGUCGCCUCAUCUUUAUAAGCCUAUCCCCUGUAUGUCAUCGAUGCGCUACUUCAAAGAUGUGAGGAAAAGAACAUACACCUGCGAGUAGUCUGUUACAUUGCCUGUGUUAUUGCCUCACAUUUGCAGAAAUCAGGGGAGGGCAUAUCACACAACAUUGCCUUGGCCGUACCAGCAUUUCAUGUUUAUGGACACAAAUUGCCCUGCCAGAUCAAGUACAGUACCAGAUGGCUUGAUGGGUUUGGGCUCACAGACGGGGAAGGAAUGGAAAGGCUGUGGUCUUUCCUCCAAAGAUUUGCCAGAGUCACAAAGGAGAUGACUCCAUCUCAUCGCCUUGACCUACUGACUGAUGCCCUUUUGCAUUAGGGACGGAGGAAAUCAACUGACCUAGGUGCAGCUACUGCAAAGAGUAGACAAAGCAGAGAAAAUAUUGAUUCUUGCUCAGGAAGAUAUCUCAUGUCAUCAGAGAGGCAUCAGGUAAACAAUGCACAUAAGAAGCAGUGUUGAUUUCUGAAGGAGACAUGGAGAGAUGGAAAAAGCUAGCCCAACAGAAACCAAUAAACACUGUCUGUAGAUGGAAAAGUGACUACAUCAUCAGACUGAUUCAGUUCUACAAGUUCAAGUAAGAGUUUAAUGUUUUUAUGUAAGACUUUGGUAAUUACAGACGUCUUUAAAGGAAAACACCACCGUUUUUCAAUAUUUUACUAUGUUCUUACUGUAGCUCAACUUGGAUGAAUUAAUGCAUACCUAUCUUUAUUCAAUG